GUGGAUAGCUCAAUCGGGAGACCAUGAGACUCUUAAUCCCAGGGUUGUGGGUUCAAGCUCCAUGUUGGACA